UGGGGAAUAUUGCACAAUGGGGGAAACCCUGAUGCAGCGACGCCACGUGAGCGAAGAAGGUUUUCGAAUCGUAAAGCUCUGUCCUAUGAGAAGAUAAUGACGGUAUCAUAGGAGGUAGCCCCGGCUAAAUACGUGCCAGCAGCCGCGGUAAUACGUAUGGGGCGAGCGUUGUCCGGAAUUAUUGGGCGUAAAGGGUACGUAGGCGGUCUAUUAAGUCAGGUGUGAAAGCGUGAGGCUUAACCUCAUUCAGCACUUGAAACUGAUAGACUUGAGUGAAGGAGAGGAAAGUGGAAUUCCUAGUGUAGCGGUGAAAUGCGUAGAUAUUAGGAGGAAUACCGGUGGCGAAGGCGACUUUCUGGACUUUUACUGACGCUCAGGUACGAAAGCGUGGGGAGCAAACAGG
rnacentral:rRNA from 1 species